AGAGUUUGAUCCUGGCUCAGAGCGAACGCUAGCGGCGGGCCUAACACAUGCAAGUCGAGCGCAAGUCUUCGGACUUGAGCGGCGGACGGGUGAGUAACACGUAGGUAAUCUGCCCUCUGGUGGGGAAUAACCCGGGGAAACCCGGGCUAAUACCGCAUACGGCCUUCGGGUCAAAGGCUUCGGCCGCCAGAGGAUGAGCCUGCGUCGCAUUACCUAGUUGGUGGGGUAAAAGCCUACCAAGGGGACGAUGCGUAGCUGGUCUGAGAGGAUGAUCAGCCACACUGGGACUGAGACACGGCCCAGACUCCUACGGGAGGCAGCAGUGGGGAAUAUUGCGCAAUGGGCGAAAGCCUGACGCAGCUACGCCGCGUGGGUGAUGAAGGCCUUCGGGUUGUAAAGCCCUGUCGGGAGGGACGAAGUUCUGACGGUACCUCCCAAGAAAGCACCGGCUAACUCCGUGCCAGCAGCCGCGGUAAUACGGAGGGUGCAAGCGUUGCUCGGAAUCAUUGGGCGUAAAGCGUACGCAGGCUGUUUGUUAAGUCGGGUGUGAAAGCCCGGGGCUCAACCCCGGAACGGCGCCCGAAACUGGCAAGCUUGAAUGCGGGAGAGGGAAGCGGAAUUCCUGGUGUAGAGGUGAAAUUCGUAGAUAUCAGGAGGAACACCGGUGGCGAAAGCGGCUUCCUGGCCCGACAUUGACGCUCAUGUACGAAAGCGUGGGGAGCAAACAGGAUUAGAUACCCUAGUAGUCC
rnacentral:rRNA from 1 species